AUGAAUCAUUUGAAUGGAAAUGACAAAUGGUGAAACAAACGGCCCCAUAGUACCUCUGCCUUGGAAAUAUAUUUAAUGCCGACAUUGUCCCUUAAUAUACAACAACCCCAACAACAAAACACAAACCACAAAACAGGGCUCCGGCGAUUCUCUCGUCUUCAGACGGCUGUCGUUUCGUCAGAGUCACUGAGAUCCGGCAUUUCAAAGUUAGUUUAGUAAAAGGUCUGCAAAAUGGUUGCUCAGGGAUUCUCUGUGGAUCUUAAUAAGGCCCUUGUAUUUCAGGGGUCUACGUCUACCACAUGUCAUACUGCUGAAUUUCUUGAAGCCAACAGCAGCCAAUAAGAGAUGAUUAUAUGAAUGAUUUGUUUAGAUUUUAUAUUUUAAGGGAUAAUUAUAUGAACUUCUAGAAAGUUAGGAAUUAGGAUUAAUCACUUAACUUGUGCCUCCUUUAUAAGCUUCUUAGAGUAAAAUUGUAUGGACAGUGACCGAAUGUAUGUGAGAAUGGGAGUUGUUAAAUUGUAUUGGCAGUAACCAUAGAGAAAUCUGUAUUCAUUUAAUUGUGUUUGUCAAUGUAUAUAAUUAAAUGCACGUCGGCGAAAUAUCUAAUGAAUGGCAUGGUCUUGUAAUUUUUCUAGUAAACAAAAGGUCUUAAAUAUUUGAACUGAGAAGAGCUGUGGAGCUGCCACGUAAACACUGAUACAAAGAUUGUAACUUAAAAAAUGCUUCACAAAUAAUAUAUAAGGGAUAUGUAACAAAUAAUUGCUUGGUAACUACUCUAAUAUUUAUUGCUCAUAAGUUCGAGACUUAUGAGACACUUUUAUUAAUUAAUGGGAUUAUGCGACAUGUUUUGGAAGGUUUCUUCACUAAAGUUAAAACACUUUGUAGUUCUUUAUUAUACCUAUAUUAUACGUAUAAUGGUGGUGAGAAAUACGUUAAUGUUACGUGCAUGGAAUUAAUAUUAUACAAAACCUUGGAGUAAUGUUCUACACAUGCAUUACUGUUACGUGCAUGUAGUUAAAUGUGAUACAAAACUUUGGAGUAAUGUUCUACAAAUGCAUUCCAAAUUUUGUAAGACAUCCUAUGUAGAGUGUUUGAGUAUUUUGAUUUGAUUCUAGAGUACCAAUGUAGAGUGUUUGUUUUGAAGAUUGCUGGCAGGCCUAAUCUUCUACCUCCGCGAACUGAAGCUUUGUCAAAGUAUCAUAAUGUUAGUUCUACUCUGCAAAUUCUGGAUAAUGUCGCACAAGAAGUACCCAACUUUGGAACUGAGCAGAUCUUCAUUUCUACCCCGACAAAUAGUGCACUAUACUUAUGAAGAAUAUGUAUAAUAGUCGUAGCAUUGCUUGGGAACAGGAUGAGGGACUUGAGGCAUGCUCUGGGUUUGCGGAAAUCUAUGGUUUGUUUCUUUAUUUUUGUUACUAUCUUCUUUAACUUCCAUCAGACAUUGAUGGAUUCUCUUCAGUGGAGGUGCAUGAUUAUAACCUGGCCCGGGUUGAGGUUGCAGUUCACUUUUUAUCCUAUUUGACUGAUAGA